rnacentral:rRNA from 1 species
UGGCGGACGGGUGAGUAACGCGUGGGUAACCUGCCUCACACAGGGGGAUAACAGUUGGAAACGGCUGCUAAUACCGCAUAAGCGCACAGUACCGCAUGGUACAGUGUGAAAAACUCCGGUGGUGUGAGAUGGACCCGCGUCUGAUUAGGUAGUUGGUGGGGUAACGGCCUACCAAGCCAACGAUCAGUAGCCGACCUGAGAGGGUGACCGGCCACAUUGGGACUGAGACACGGCCCAG